UACAGAGGUCUCAAGCGUUGUUCGGAUUCAUUGGGCGUAAAGGGUGCGUAGGCGGCGCGGUAAGUCGGAUGUGAAAUCUCGGAGCUUAACUUCGAAACUGCACUCGAUACUGCCGUGCUUGAGGACUGGAGAGGAGACUGGAAUUUACGGUGUAGCGGUGAAAUGCGUAGAUAUCGUAAGGAAGACCAGUGGCGAAGGCGGGUCUCUGGACAGUUCCUGACACUGAGACACGAAGGCCAGGGGAGCAAACGGG
rnacentral:rRNA from 1 species